rnacentral:rRNA from 1 species
GACGUAGGAGGCGAGCGUUGUCCGGAUUCAUUGGGCGUAAAGGGCGCGUAGGUGGCGGGACAAGCGUGCGGUGAAAGCCUGGGGCUCAACCCCGGGUCGGCCGUGCGAACUGUUUUGCUUGAGCACUGUAGAGGCAGGCGGAAUUCCGGGUGUAGCGGUGGAAUGCGUAGAGAUCCGGAAGAACACCGGUGGCGAAGGCGGCCUGCUGGGCAGUAGCUGACACUGAGGCGCGACAGCGUGGGGAGCAAACAGG